GAAAGUCUGGGAAGGUCUGCGAGAGAAGCGGAGUGUUUUCAGCUCCGGAAGUGGCAGUUGUAAACUUCACCUCCCGGGGGCUCUUCCCCUUCUGUACCCCUUUGCUGUUUGUCCCCCUCCUCCCGGGUCCUGGAGUCCGUCGUGUUCCAACAGUUUUUGCUCUUAUUCCCGUGGGCUGCCUGGGCCUCCUUUCACCCGUGAGACUUGGAGCGGCCCCUGGGGUCUUGGGUGUGCAGCACGGAUCACGCGAGACCCCUGAGACCUCAAAUCAUCUAACGUGAAGCCACAGACAUCUUGGGCAAUUUUAAUCAUCAAGAAAGAAAUAUGUCAUUAAGAAAUAGCAGGGUAUUUUGAAAGAGUUGGAAAACAUCAUGAAUUUGAAUACUUCAAGUAAUACUGGUGAUACCCAAAGGUUGAAGAUUGCCUCAUUGGAUGUAAAACAAAUACUUAAAAAUGAAACAGAGUUGGAUAUUACUGAUAAUCUCAGGAAGAAACUCCAUUGGGCUAAAAAAGAAAAGUUAGAAAUAACAACCAAACACAAUGCAGAGCUGGCAAGCUAUGAGAGCCAGAUUGCCAAGCUACGGUCCGAGGUUGAAAAGGGAGAAGCAUUGCGACAAAGUCUGGAAUAUGACCUAGCUGUUGCUAGAAAGGAAGCUGGUCUUGGAAGACGGGCUGCUGAAGAAAGAUUAGCCGAGGCACAUAGGAUCCAAGAAAAACUCUGUGCACAGAAUUCAGAACUUCAAGCAAAGACAAAUGAGACUGAGAAAGCAUUUCAGACUUCUCAGCAAAAAUGGAAAGAAGAAUGCAGAAGAUUUGAACAUGAUUUGGAGGAAAGAGACAAUAUGAUCCAAAAUUGCAAUCGAGAAUAUGAUUUACUUAUGAAAGAAAAAAGCAGACUAGAGAAAACUCUACAGGAAGCGUUGGAAAAACAUCAACGGGAGAAGAAUGAGAUGGAGUCUCAUAUCAGGGAGACAGCAUUGGAGGAGUUUAGAUUACAAGAAGAACAAUGGGAAGCAGAAAGAAGAGAAUUACAAUUUAUAGUACAGGAGCAAGAUACUGCUGUGCAAAAUAUGCAUAAGAAAGUAGAAAAAUUAGAAACAGAACAUAUGGACUGCUCUGACCUUUUACGGCGACAAACAAGUGAACUUGAAUUUAGCACUCAACGAGAGGAACGCCUUAGAAAAGAAUUUGAGGCAACUACUCUAAGAGUGAGGAAAUUAGAAGAAAACAUUGAAGCAGAAAGAGCAGCGCAUUUGGAAUCAAAAUUUAAUUCUGAAAUUAUUCAGUUACGGAUUCGAGACCUUGAAGGAGCUUUGCAAGUAGAGAAGGCCAGUCAAGCAGAAGCUGUUGCUGAUUUGGAAAUUAUCAAGAAUGAAUUCAAAGAAGUUGAAAGUGCAUAUGAGCGAGAAAAGCAUAAUGCACAAGAGAGCUUUGCAAAACUAAAUUUAUUAGAAAAAGAGUAUUUCUCCAAAAAUAAGAAACUAAAUGAAGACAUCGAGGAACAGAAGAAAGUAAUUAUAGACCUUUCAAAGAGACUCCAGUAUAAUGAAAAAAGUUGCAGUGAAUUACAGGAAGAACUAGUAAUGGCUAAGAAGCACCAGGCCUUCCUAGUAGAGACAUGUGAAAAUAACGUGAAAGAAUUGGAAUCGAUCUUGGACAGCUUUACUGUGUCGGGCCAGUGGACAUCAGGCAUCCACAAGGACAAAGAUAAACCUCCCAGCUUCUCUGUUGUCCUUGAGAGAUUGAGGCGUACCUUGACAGAUUACCAGAACAAGCUGGAAGAUGCAUCUAAUGAGCUAAACAGCAUGAAUGAUGUUAAGGAAAAGGCAUGUAAUGAACUUGAUUCUACGAAACAGAAGAUAGACUCUCACACUAAAAAUAUAAAGGAACUUCAGGAUAAACUGGCUGAUGUUAAUAAAGAGUUAAGUCAUUUACACACUAAAUGUGCAGACCGAGAGGCUUUAAUAAGCACUUUAAAAGUGGAACUACAAAAUGUGCUGCACUGUUGGGAGAAAGAAAAGGCUCAGGCAGCCCAGUCUGAAAGUGAACUGCAGAAGCUUUCCCAGGCUUUCCAUAAGGAUGCAGAGGAGAAGCUAACCUUCCUUCACACCUUAUAUCAGCACUUGGUAGCAGGCUGUGUGCUCAUAAAACAACCAGAAGGCAUGCUGGAUAAAUUCUCUUGGUCUGAGCUUUGUGCAGUCUUACAGGAGAAUGUUGAUGCCCUGAUUGCAGACCUCAACAGGGCUAAUGAGAAGAUAAGGCAUCUAGAGUAUAUCUGUAAAAACAAGUCUGACACGAUGAGAGAGCUUCAGCAGACUCAGGAAGACACCUUUACCAAAGUGGCAGAACAGAUCAAAGCCCAAGAGAGCUGCUGGCACAGACAAAAGAAGGAACUAGAGCUGCAGUAUUCUGAACUCUUCCUGGAGGUGCAGAAGAGGGCACAGAAAUUUCAAGAAAUUGCUGAAAAAAACAUGGAAAAAUUGAACCAUAUUGAGAAGUCACAUGAACAGUUGGUUCUUGAAAAUUCGCACUUCAAAAAACUGUUAUCACAGACUCAAAGGGAACAGAUGUCCUUGCUGGCAGCCUGUGCAUUAAUGGCUGGUGCCUUAUAUCCCCUCUAUAGCCGAUCAUGCGCCUUGUCUACACAGAGAGAUUUUCUCCAGGAGCAGGUCAACACCUUUGAGUUGUUCAAACUGGAAAUUAGAACUCUAGCCCAGGCUUUGUCAACUGUAGAGGAAAAGAAGCAAGAGGAAGCCAAGAUGAAAAAGAAAACAUUCAAAGGAUUGAUACGUAUAUUUCGGAAAGGUGUUAUUGCUGUUUUGGCAGCAAACAGACUCAAGAUUUUGGGCCAAUCAUGUGCCUCUCUUUUUACCUGGAUGGAGAGUUUCAAAGAAGGCAUAGGCAUGUUAGUGUGCACAGGAGAGCCCCAAGACAAGCAUAAAUUUCCAAAACAUCAAAAGGAGCAGUUGCGUUGUUUACAAGCGCUCAGUUGGCUCACCAGUUCUGACCUUCUUGCUGCAAUAAUCAGUUCUAUGGCUGAAUUACAAGACGUCAUUGGUAAAGCAGAUCCAAAUUCCAGAAUUUGUGGACAUUUACUCAUAGGUGCAGCCAAGAAUUCUUUUGCAAAACUCAUGGAUAAAAUUAGUCUGGUAAUGGAAUGUAUACCUCUGCACAGUAGCAGGAGUAUUACAUAUGUAGAAAAAGAUUCCCUGGUUCAGAGGCUGGCCCAUGGACUUCAUAAAGUAAACACACUGGCCCUGAAAUAUGGUUUGCGUGGCCAUGUGCCCAUUACGAAAAGCACAGCAUCGUUGCAGAAGCAAAUACUUGGAUUUACACAAAGACUGCAUGCUGCAGAAGUGGAGCGCCGCUCACUACGCUUAGAGGUCACAGAAUUCAAACGAAGUGUGAAUGAAAUGAAAAAGGAGCUUGACAAAGCCCAGGGUCUGCAAAUGCAAUUAAAUGAAUUUAAGCAGUCUAAAUUGAUCACCCAUGAGAAGUUUGAAAGUGCAUGUGAAGAACUAAAUAAUGCAUUACUUCGGGAAGAGCAGGCACAAAUGCUAUUGAAUGAACAGGCACAACAACUACAGGAAUUGAAUUAUAAACUUGAAUUGCACUCCAGUGAGGAAGCUGACAAAAACCAAACUCUUGGAGAAGCUGUUAAGAGUCUCUCCGAGGCAAAGAUGGAGCUGAGAAGAAAAGAUCAAUCUCUGCGUCAGCUCAAUAGACAUCUUACCCAGCUGGAGCAGGACAAGCGUCGACUGGAGGAGAACAUCCAUGAUGCAGAGAGUGCCCUCCGCAUGGCAGCCAAAGACAAAGAAUGUGUUGCUAAUCACAUGAGAGCAGUAGAAAAUACGCUUCACAAGGUCAGAGAUCAGAUCUCGCUGUCAUGGUCUGCGGCAAGUAGGAAUGACUUCACCCUACAGCUACCCAAACUGCACCUGGAGACCUUUGCAAUGGAGGGGCUCAAGGGCGGGCCAGAGGUGGUAGCAUGCCAGCUACUUGGACAAAAAACAGUGUUUGAUGGACUGCCUAGGUGAAGACCUGGAAAAGGAAGGGUUAUCUACAAAUGAACUGAUGAAGUUCUUCAAAUUGAUGCCGCUUAUAUAAACUGACCCCGAUUUGCCCUAUUCUGCAUGACAACUUAAGUGACAGCAGUUAGAAGAAAAUACAGCAAUGAAUAUGCAACUUAAGGAUUAAGGAAGAUGCAGUAAAUCAGUCUAAAGCUAAGUACAAUGAUAAUUUCUUGUAAUAAUUCCACAGAUGCCUUACAUUUGUUAAACAGACUGUUAUUACUCUCAAAUACUCAAAUAUAUGUUUUCAUUAUAUACAUGUAUUUGAAUUGAAGAAGAGAACUAAAAGUUAUUCCAACAGAGAUCCUAAUUCUUUUCCCUCUUAUUUAAACUUGGAAUUAUCAAAAUCACAGUUUUAAAAAUAUUUUAUUUAGGAUAUCCACAUGCAAAAGAAUGAAAUUGGACCUUGGUCUUACAACAUGCACAAUAAUCAACUCAAAAUGGAGUACACAAUGUUAGAAAGACCUAAUGCCAUAAAACAAAGGAAACAACAAAAUGGAAAGGCAACUUGUGGAAUAGGAAAAACUAUUUAUAAACUGUAUAUCCAGUAAGGAGUUUAAUAUCCAAAAUAUAUAAGGAACUCAUACAACACAAUAACUUUUUUAAAAAAUGGGCAAAGGACCUAAAAAGACAUUUUUCCAAAGAACACAUGCAAGUGGCCAAUAAGUAAAAAGGUGUUCAACACCGCUAACCAUUAGGGAAAUGAAAAUCAAAACCACAAUGAGAUAUCACAUCACAACUGUUAGGAUGGCUAUUACCAGAAAGUCAAAAGACAACAAGUGUUGGCAAGGAUGUAGAGAAAAGCGAACCUUUGUGCACUAUUGGUGGAAAUGUAAAUUGGUAUAGCUAUUAUGGAAAACAGUAUGGAAUUUCCUCAAAAAAUAAAAAUAGAACUACCAUAUGAUCCAGCAAUCCUACUUCUGGGUAUACAUCAAAAGGAAAUGAAACCGUUGUCUUGAAGACAUGUCUACACUUCCAUGUUCAUUGUAGCAUUAUUCACAAUAGCCAAGAUAUAGAAACAACCUAAGUGUCCUCUGAUGAAUGAAUGGACAGAGGAAAUGUUUAUACACACACACACACACACACACACACACACCCAGAGGAAAAUUCAGCUUUAAAAAAUAAAGGAAAUCCUGCAAUGUGCAACAACAUAUAUGAACAUGGAGGACAUUAUGCUAAGCGAAAUAAGCCAGACGCAGAAAGAAAAAUACUGCAUGAUUCCAUUUAUACGUAGAAUUUUUAAAAAUCUUACUCACAGAAACAGAGUAGAAGGUGGUUGGGGGUGGUUGGGGGAAUGAGGAGAUAAUUGGUCAAAGGGUAAAAACUUUUGGUCAUAAGAUGAAUAAUCUCUGGAGAUCAUGGUACAGUGCUAUAUAAUGCAUUGUGUACUUGAAAUUUGCUAAGAGAGUAGAUCUUCAGUAUUCUCACCACAUACACAAAAGAGGGUAACUCUGUGAGGUGAUAGAUAUGUUAAUUAGCUUGAUUGUGGUAAUAAUUUCACAAAGUAUAUAUAUAUUAAAUAAUCACAUUAUAUCCCUUAAAUAUAUACAAACUUUAUUUGUCAAAAAAAUAUUUCAUUUGAGUUUGCAUAGUACUGUAUAUUAAGUAACCAGUGAAAUGUAGAGUAAUUUUAGAAAUGGUUUAGAAAGUACUUUUCAGUUUUGGAGCCUUCUAGUAACAGUAGUAGGUUUUUUUCCCCCUUUUCCCACCAAAAGUCUCAUAGUGCUGACUAAAAGGAGGCAUAAGUUUUUGAGGGAAGACUAACUUAAGAAGUAACUCACUGAAGAAAACAUUAAAAGGUAAACUGUGGCAUAUAAAAUUUUAAGGUAUUUGUUUGAGUGAACAGCAAUUCAUGAGUUGUACAGCUCCAGGCCAGAAGUAGUUUGGAGGUCCUGUUGAGAGAACGCACUCAAAUUUCUACACGUUUGUAGACACUAAGCCAAAACCCAAAUCAACUCUUUAUCUGAAAUAAAAGAUUGUUGCUUAAUUCAUUUAUUUUCAAAGGAAAAAUAAAAAUGAAAAAUUAAAUAAAUUCUCAUAAUAAUUUCAUUUAGAAAUAGUAUUAUUAUUUUUCUUAACAAAGUACCCUUUAAAAAAAAACUCAAAAGACUUGCCAAUACUAGCCAAUCAAAUCCUUCCUUCAAUUUUAGAAAACAGGAAUUGCAUGUAAACAAGUCUGGGCCAACUCUUACAACCUGCUUUCUAUAUCCUCCUCCUCUGUUCUCCAUCUUUCCUAGUUCUUUGAGCCCCAGUGGUCAGGCUGAGCUGAGUAUGAGAGAGGGCCCUCAAGAGGCCCUGGAAGCAUAUUCCCUCAGCUCCUAAAUGAAGUCUCCAUAAGGUGACCCUAGGAGACUGUGCAGCGUGACUGGCCGCUUGUUUUAUCCCAGACUCUUUUCCAGGGUCUUACUUCUGUCAUCCAGACUGGAGUGCAGCAGUGCGAUCUCAGCUCACUGCAACCUCCACCUCCCAGGUUUAAGCGACUCUCCUGCCUCAGCCUCCACAAUAACUGGGACCACAGGUGUGUGCCACCACACCUGGCUAAUUUUUGUAUUUUUUUUAUGGAGACAGAGUUUUACUGUGUUGGCCAGGGUGGUCUCGAACUUCUAACGUCAAAUGAUCCACCUGCCUCGGCCUCCCAAAGUACUGGGAUUACAGCCCACAUUUCUAAAAUAGGAAAAAUCCUGAACUGAGAAACACAUUGGUUCCAAGGGUUUCAGAUAAAGGAAUGUGAGAAUUGUACUAGCAUUAUAAAACAGGUUCUAUGCAAAGGACAUAUACUGUUGUUUCCAUGCAUUGUGUCAAUGCAAUCAAACAAAGGUUUUUUGCUUAUAGAGAAGCACAUUCAGUCUGUGGGAUGGUAUAUUUGAGUGAAUUUUUGCUAUCUACUCUCUCUUGCAUCUUGUUUUGAGUCAUAAAGGAAUUGUGUAGUAUUUUAUGCCACUUGAAAACUCGAAAGACUUCAACAGUUGUGUUAUGUGCAAAUCAGAUAAGGCUCUAAUAGGCUUUAUCUUGCUUGUGUAUAGUACCUGUUUGCAAACUAAAGGCACAUUUUCACUCCAUGCCAGUAGGAAUCCUCUGAGGCAUUAUUUUUUGGGCCCCUCCCACUUUAUGUACUGAAAGCAGAAUGGAUGAAAUGCCUUGACACAUAACUUACUUAUCUUUUCUUACUCAACAUUCUAAUGUGUUCUCACUGGUAAAGGAAUGCAGAUUUUUUGAAGGAUCUGGAGAAGCCAGACUCUGCUGGUAUUCAGACAAUUACUCUAGAUAGAGAGAGGAAGUCCUCUUGUUGUGAGUCCAGUGGCUUGGUGGUUCGUAUCCUGGAUUCCUGGUAGUCCAUAGGAGCAACAGGGACUAGAAAUGGCUUUGUUUCAAAGUUCUCUGCUUAUUCUAGAGAGGAAAUAAAAAUAUCACUUAAUAGUAUUUAGAGACCAGUGUGAACUAAGAUACUGGCUUUAAACCAAAAUGGCCAGCUCUGUUGAUCAUAUAGAUUUGAAUGUGGCUAACAUCAUUCAGUGACGUACUGAGCACCUACCAAAUGUAGGGCAUUGCGCUGUACUCUGGGACACAAAGGUAACUCAAACUUUUUUUUUUUUGAGGGGAAAGAGAGAAUGUGAAAUUUAAUAUGAAAGUUGAGACUGAUAUGAAAUGAAAGACAUGGUUGCCAUAGGAGAGGCAUAGAUAAAAGUACCAUUGCUUGCCCUUUAGAGAUGAAUGAAAUUUGUUCUUGCUGGGUGAUUAGGAGAGGCUUCAUAGAGGAGGUAGCAUUUGAGUGGACCUUGAAGUUUAUGUGGCUACAAAUUCCUUUUCCUAUAAAAUGCUAUUGUCAGGAAAUACAAAUAGGAAAUAUCUGGAGUUUGAGUCUCAUCCACUAGGUAGCUCUGCAGCAGUGAAGUCUAUAGGAUGACUUUUAAUCUGCAAAAUGGGGAUUGACCUGGAGGAUUGGUAAGGUUUUUUUUUUUUGCAGCUACUGAAACUCUGUGAUACUGCAAAUAAACUAUGGUCUUAGGAGAAUUUCAUGGCACUCUUAUUAUUUAUUCCUUCACAAUGUACAAAAUAAAUUCAUUGCUUUAGUUGAAAAUCAGAAGGCACCUGGGAAUCAAUUUGUCCUUAAAACAAAAUGGCUAUUUAUUAAAUAUGUGCAAUUCUUUGUUUAUUAAUUAUACCUCAAUAAACCUGUUUUAAAAACUAAAAUGGUAACAAUAUUUUUUUCAGAGUGAUAUAGUUUAACAUACUUCAAUGAAUUUUGUUAUAGAAUAGAGAUUAUAGGGAUUAUUGAAGUAGAUGAUAACCCUGGCUGAAGCAUGCAAAUUCCCAAACCAAUUUGCUGUAUUAUAUCAGAAUCAGAGUGGAAUCAUGGUGAUAAAAGGACUGGCUCUUAAUAAAGGCAUAAAAUAUUUUCUCUCUUUCUCUCUUUGCCAAUUUGCUUUUCUUCAGGUAUAUUGAAAAUUGUUCAUAUUAUAUUUAAGUAAACCACAAACAAGUACAUCAAAUUCUUAUAAUUCUAGCUAAAUGUGUUUUUAGCACCUCUGUCCAAAUUAAUAUAAAGAAACCAAUUAUGGAUGUACUUUGCUGAAAUUCAUAAAUAAAACUAACAGUUUGAUGUGAAAAGAGGAAAGAUAAGGCAGUCAAAAAUGUGUGGAUGUGUGGAUGUAUUUACUCUGAGUCAGUAGCUUAAAUGCACUUUCUGAGGAGCUGUUUGUUUCAAGAUAAUGGAUUGAGCAGUUUUUCUUUGAUAGUGAACAACUAGCUCUCAACCCUGCAAGCUAUUUAUUUCUGUAGCUUUUCUUUUUGCACUAACACUACUCUUUAAGACAAUUUUUAUAUUGAACCCCAAAAGGUCAGAAUUAGGAUGUGUCUUUGGUCCAUUGUCAGAUCUGAUCAAAGCAGUUGGAUCUUUGUAGGUCGAUUAUGGAACAGACACACGGGAGGUGCUGGUUAUCACUUUGUUUAGUCUGCAAAAAGUGUAAAUCAGAAAGAGAUAAUUGAGAUAGAAAGUGCCUUUAUUAAGCCCCAAAUAUCUUUUGAAGGGGUUAAAUAGGCACUUCAAAUAUAAUCCACAUUAUUAAUGAAAUUGAAAGGCUCACUAACUAAAAUGAAGAACCAUACCAAUAUUUUAUAAUCUUAAUGUAAUCAAGUGGAAUAAGUAUGUAUGGAACUCCUGUUCUUUAUUUAACCCUGUGCUUAAUAGGUGACUGGGUGAGAUGACAGAGAAUGAACGAGCAUGCAGGGAGGAUGAAUUAAAAAGAAAGAACCUCAGUGUUACCAUUCCUAAUUACAAGGAGAACAAAACAAGCACUAAUACGGGAAUCACUGAGUACCAGCAUGUAUGCUGGGAGCCUAUGGGACGCAUGAGGAUGGGAAAGGGCCUGAAUAGAUCACUAACCUUGUUUUGGACCUUUCCCCAAUCCCCCAUCUUUUUCUUACUAACAAGAGGCAUUUGGCUUUUAAAAGGAAAUAAUCUUUAUUAGUGUUUUAUCCACUGCGUUUCAAUAUGAAAUUUUAAAAUGUUUUAUUUCCCCAACUUGAAAAAUGUGAAUCAGAUAUAGGAUCAUGUCUUCUGCAAACAAAGAUAAUUUGACUUUCUCUCUUUCUAUUUGAAUAGCCUUUAUUUCUUUCUCUUGCCUGAUUGCCUUAGCCAGAACUUCCAAUACUAUGUUAAAUAGGCAUGGUGAGAGAGGGCAGCCUUGACUUGUGCCAGUUGUCAAGGGGAAUGCUUCCAGCUUCUGCCAAUUCGGUAUGAUAUUGGCUGUGGGUUUGUUACAUAUGGCUCUUAUUAUUUUGAGGUGUGUUCCUUCAAUACCUAGUUUAUUGUGAGUUUUUAACAUGCAGGGAUGUUGAAUUUUAUUGAAGGCCUUUUCUGCAUCUAUUGAGAUAAUCAUGUGUUUUUUUUCUUUAGUUGUUUAGUUUAUGUGAUGAAUCACGUUUAUUGAUUUGGUUAUGUUGAAGCAACCUGGCAUCCUGGGGAUGAAGCCAACUUAAUCUCAGACCAAACCUUCUUAAGCAACUUCAGCAAAGUCUCAGAGUACAAAAUCGGUGUGCAAAAAUCACCAACAACAGGCAAGCCGAAAGUCAAAUCAUGAAUGAAUUUCCAUUCACAGUUGCUGCAAAAAACAAACAAACAAAACCUAGGAAUACAGCUAACAAGGGAAGGGAAGGACCUCUUCAAGGAAAACUACAAACCACUGCCCAAAGAAAUCAGAAAGGACACAAACAAAUGGAAAAAUAUUCCAUGCUCAAAGAUAAGAAGAAUCAAUAUUGUGAAAAUGGCCUUACUGUCCCAAAUAAUUUAUAGAUUCAAUGCUAUUACCAUUAAACUACCAUUGACAUUCUUCACAGAAUUAGAAAAAACUAUUUUAAAAUUAAUAUGGAACCAAGAAAGAACCUGAAUAGCCAAGACAAUCCUAAGCAAAAAGAACAAAGCUUGAGGCAUCAUGCUGUCUGACUUCAAACUAUAUUACAAGGCUACAGUAAUCAAAACAGCACGGUACUUGUAUAAGCACAGAUACAUAGACUAAUGGAACAGAAUAGAUAAUCCAGAAAUAAGACCACACACCUGCAACAUCUGACCUUUGACAAACCUGACAAAAACAAGCAAUGGGGAAAAAUUCCCUAUUUAGUAAAUGGUGCUGGAAGAACUGGCUAGCCAUAUGCAAAAUAUUGAAACUGGACCCCUUCUUUACACCUUAUACAAAAAUUAACUCAAGAUGGAUUAAAGACUUAAAUGUAAAACCCAAAACUAUAAAAACCUUAGAAGAAAAUCUAGGUAGUACCACUCAGGACGUAGGCAUGGGUACAGAUUUCAUGAUGAAGAUGCCAAAAGCAAUUGGAACUGAAGCAAAAAUUGACAAAUGGUAUCUAAUUAAACUAAAGAGCUUCUGCACACCAAAAGAAGCUAUCAUCAGAUUGAGCAGACAACCUACAGAAUGAGAGAAAAUUUUUGCAAUUCAUCUGACAAAGGUCUAAUAUCCAGAGUCUACAAGCAACUUAAACCAAUUUACAAGAAAAAACAAACAGCCCCAUCAAAAAGUGGGCAAAGAACAUGAACAAACACUUCUCAAAAGGAGACAUACAUGUGGCCAACAAACAUAUGAAAAAAAUCUCAACAUCACUGAUGAUUAGAGAAAUGCAAACUAAAACCACAAUGAGAUGCCAUCUUGUGCCAGUUAGAAAGGCUAUUAUUAAAAAGUCAAAAAACACAGAUGCUGGUGAGGUCGUGGAGAAAAAGGAACACUUUUACACUGUUGGUAGGAGUGUAAGUUCAACCACUGUGGAAGACAGCAUGGCGAUUCCUCAAAGACCUAGAGGCAGAAAUACCAUUUGACCCAGCAAUCCCAUUACUGGGUAUAUACCAAAGAUGUAUAAAUAAAUCAUUGUUAUAAUGAUACAUGCACACGUAUGUUCGUUGUAGCACUGUUCACAAUAGUGAAGACAUGAAAUCAACCCAAAUGCCCUUCAAUGAUAGAUUGGAUAAAGAAAAUGUGGUACAUACACACCAUGGAAUACUGUGCAGUCGUAAAACAGAACGAGGUCGUGUUCUUUGUGGGAACAUGGAUGGAGCUGGAAGCCAUUAUCCUUAACAAACUAACAUAGGAACAGAAAACCAAAUACUGCAUGUUCUUACUUAUAAGUGGGAACUGAAUGAUGAGAACACAUUUACACAUGAAGAAGAACAACACAUACUGGGGCUUGUUGGGGGCGAGUUGUGGGGGAAGAGCAUCAGGAAGGAUAGCUAAUGGAUGCUGGGCUUAAUACCUAGGUGAUGGGAUGAUCUGCGCAGCAAACCACCAUGGCACACGUUUACCUGUGUAACAAACCUACACAUCCUGAACAUGUAACCCUAAACUUAAAAGAUAAAAAAAGAAAAAUAUGAGUCAUUUUUGCCAUUCCUCCCUUCUUAUACAGCUAAAUGGCUUCCCAUCACCCUUAAAAUGAACUUCAAACUUCUCACUUUGGCCUUGGGCUCUUCAUGAUCUGGGCCCUGCUGCUCUCCAACUCCAUCACCUUAACAUUCUCCAUCUCAUUCACUGAACUAUAGUGACACUGACCUUUUUCCUGUAACUUGAACACAGUGCACAUAGGCCCAUUUUAGAGGCUUUGUGCUUGGUGGUCCCUUUACUUGGUAUCCCUUUCUCUCGAAUUUCCACAAGGCUCACUCCUUCACUUCAUUUAUGUCUUUGCAUAAAUAUCACCUCAUUGAAGACUUCUCUCAUUCCUUACUAAAAUAACCUCCCUUCUCCCUGCAUAUUUUAUAGCCCUGACGUAAUAUGUUUGGCUGUUAUCUAUUUGUCACCAAAAUGUAAGAUCCAACAGGGCAGGGCUUUAUAUACUUUACCACAGUAUCUUCAGCACCUAGAACAUAAUGGGUGCUCAAUAAUAUUUGUUGAAUAUGUUAAUGAAUGAACCAGGAUUUUCUCCCUUGUGGCCUUUUUGAGAGGCAGAACUGCAUGCAAAUUAAGGAAAAAAGUAGGAGGUUUGAAAUCAAAUGGACCUCUUAUUUCCAGCCAUGUCACUUUUUAGCAAUGUGCCUGUAAGGAAGUUAUUUAUGAACUCUGAGCCUUGGGACCUUUAUAUCUAAAAUAUUGCUAAAUAAUUCCUGUUUUUCAAGGACUGUGUAAAAAGUAAGAGAUUAUGUAUGCCAUCACAGAAAACAGACUAUGUUCCUAUUUGCAUAUGCUUUAUUUAGUAGAGUCAGAGAAUGGCUGCCUUUUGAGUGAGGAGCCUAACCAUUCUGCACAGGUGUAUCUGUUACUUGCUAAGUGUUAGAGAAAGUCAAAGUAACUGUGAUCUCCAAGGAGUGUACUCUUAGAUAUCAAAAAUUCAUAAGAACAUUUCCACUUAUCGAGGCCAGAUGUCAUGAUUUUGACACUUGAGCAGAGGUGGACUGCCUGAAUUGUAGCUGACACCAUUGCAAUAGAAUCCAAAUAUUCACCUAUAUACUCACACCACCAUACUCUGUCUUAUCUAUAUGUCAAUAGACUCCAAAGUCUCCAAAGCAGCUCUAAUAAUCUUCAUUGUAAAACUCCUAAUGAUGUCAAGAGAGAGAAGGUGCUGAAGAAAUGAUAACCAUAAUAAUAUAUUUUUGUGUGUGAUGGAGAACUAAAGUAAUGAAGUUAAGCUUCUUCUUGUUUUCCUAUGGCCCACAAUUCUGCUUUAGUCACUAACCAAGCAACUUCCAGUUUAUCAGACCUUGUUUUGCAACACAUUAAUAAAGCCAGUGGCAAUUCUGUAAUUUACCAAUAUGACAAGCAUUUUUCAGGCUGCUUAAAUUUCUAAGUCCCUAAAGUAAGGCAAUUUAUUAGUAUUGGUGUUAUCAUCACUGAUCUAGUAGUAUCUUCUGAGAAACUCAUUCCUCUGACUUUUUCUAAGAUUAUUGUUGCCUUUUAUGGUUUUCAUGUCCAUAUGCAAUGGUUUUCACUAGGAACUUUUCUCAUUCUCUGAUUAUUUUGAUGACCUCUUUUCCAUAUUUUUGUAGGAAACCAUGUUGGUUUUUUUCUAUGUAAUUGUCCCUUUGCUCUUUCUUUACAGUAAUCUUUAGCAUAAUAAGGGCAAUAAUCACCAUCAAUCUAGAAGCUGCAUUUGCCCUUAGAAUUAGCCUUGAUUCAGUUCUACUUGGAAGUAACAUAUUUGAAAAAGUAUUGGUCUUAUUUUUGGCACAUUUAAGUUGUAUAUGCCAUGGUUGAGUGGAAGCCAGAAAAAAGUUUAGAGUCUAAACAAGAUACAAAGAAAACAUCAUUUAAAAAAAGUCUGCUGCAAAAGUGUUCUGCAACUCUGCUGAAUAUGGUUUCCCAUGAGACUCCUUCUCAUACCUGAAGAGCUAUUAUAUUUACAUCCUUCAAAGAUGGUGCCAGUAAAAACUUUGAGUGAUGGGAUAAGUCAAGUCCAGGGCCAUUUCAAAUGCCAAAAAAGGAAAAUGAACUUAGAUUCUCUUUUUCUUGUAUAAAAUAACACCAACAAAACAGCUGAACUACAUGCAGCAUCACAUCAAGUCAGUUUACAAUUUUGCCUUCAGUUGUGCUUGACUAAGGAGGUUGCAUAUUUGCAACAAAAUUUUUUCUCUUCUACUGACCUGAUACAUUUGCUAUCCUUAUCAAUGUCACCAUUAUCACUAAAAAGCCCUUCAGUAUCUGUGUAUACACUGCAUUCAGUAUCUAGUUACACAUUGUUUUUACCAUAGCCUGUAAUAGUCAUAUACAAUUUUAACUGAACAGUGGUGGCCCAGACCAGUCUAUAAAGGAAUAAAAUUCUUGUAUAUGUACACAAACCCUAAUACAUGUAGGACCGAAUAUGGGCUAUCCAGAAAACUUCUUAUAAAUAACGAAGGGAGAGGAACUUGGUUCACUAAAAUCCUAGUUUUUAUAUAAAAGAAAGGUCAUUUUUUUCUGUCAGAUAAUUUUCCGGGCAGUGCAAGAUGAAAGCCUUCCCCAUCUUAGUAGUUAAAAUGGAAAUGGAAUAUAAUGUCUCUGAGUCCCAUUCCUUCUAUACAUAUAUCCAGCAUGUAUAGAUCUCAUUCAGAAUUAGAAUUUAUGAGUUAGAUGAGCUAAUCCUAUGUGGGCAGGAUUUGGGAUAUCACUGUCUUGGUAUUUUGCUUGUCAAGUCCUUUACUGAUGCUAACAGGUCCUUUUAGUCAGGCUGCUGAGAGAUACAUAGCACAUUAUCAUUUUACAUGUAUAAGUUAAUCGAGUAUACCAGAAGUUGUUUUCCUUUUUUCCAAGUCAUCUAUUGUGUGGAUAAUAGAUGAUUUGCUAUAAUUUCUAAGCUUAAUUUUUUCCCAUUAAAAAAAUCUAAGUCUUCUUCCAAAUUAUGUAUGUUUUUAGCAUCAAAAGAUGUUUUGAUGGAAGUGUGGAAGUUAUAUGGCAUGCUUUGAUAGAAUAGAGAUUCAUUAUUUUGUUACAAAUGUUUAUUGAACAACUACAGAAUGAAUGAAGUUCCCAAGAAAAUAUCAUUUGAAGUUCUUUUAUUUGAAAUAUUUAUUUACAUAAACAAAAAUCUGUAGCUCAGAGUCAAUGCAGAGUAAUACUUAUUAAUGAUUGUGAGAUCUUUGAAAAUCCUGGUGUCAUAGCAAAAUUCAAAAGGGGUUUGCUUUGUAUCUUUUUCAGUUAAUAAAGGAGAGAACAUGGAUCAAUAAAA